rnacentral:lncRNA from 1 species
UCUCCUCCCUCUCUUCUCCCUUCUCUCCCGUGCGACUCCUCCAUCUUCUUCUUCUUGCUGCUCGACGGAACCGAGCAGACCAGCGGAGCCGAAGAAGUCGCACGCCUCCGCCGUUCGCCGUCGCCGCCCGUCCGCACCCUAGCUGCUCCGCCCCUCCACCCGCUCGCCGUCGCUUAGCCGCGCCACCGUCGCCCUCUCUUCUCCAUCUCCAGUUGCUGCUCGUGUCCCAGCAGAUCUGGGAAGACGCCGGAGCAGCCAGCAGUCUAGUCGGACUGCCGUCGCGCCCCGCUUGCCGCCGUCCGCCUCUCGCGACACCCCGCCGUCCUCGCGCAGGAAGCCUGCUCGUCCCUGCUGUUCCGCGAGUCCAGCAGUCAUUCCAGAUCUGGGGAAGCUCAGCCGGAGCCGCCCAGCUCACCUCCGGCCACCGUGAAGCCCCGCCUAGGUCCGGUUCAGCUCCUCCGCCCAUUCCCGACCCCAACCAGCCCCGGAUCUGCUCAUUUUCGGCCCCAACCAGCAGCGAGCAGAGAGUUGGAAAAUGGGUAUGCAGCGGACGUUUGGCCCGUUUUGGCCGCCUUCCCGAGCCCGGAUGCUCGGCCCGCCUUGAGGAAAGUUGUUCUCCUCGGCGUCCCCGUCGUUUUGGUCCGCUCGGCUCGCUAAUCCAGUGAGUUUAGCUCACUAAACCUCGGUUAGAGGGUUAAUUAUGCUUUAGGUGUGCUUAGCUUAAGUUGAUUAAGCUUAGGUGGUUAAUUUAGUUGAUUUAAUUAUGAUUUAGAUUAAGUUGUUUGUUUAAUCUAAAGUAUGUUUAAUUAAAUGCUAAGAGAGUUUAUUUAAAGUUAAGUGGGUGUUUAUAUUAAUAUAAACAUUGAUGUGACAUAAAGGAAUUUACCUUUGGUUUAUUUAAAUAUCUCGAAAUUAUUUAAUAAUUUAAUAAUUUAUUAUUAUUCGAAAUUAUUAAAAUAUUAUUAUUUAAUUAUUUUCGGAAUAAAUUUAAUUAUUUAUUAAAUUCCGAAAAUUUUGGUCGGGACCCUAAAUUCUCAGAAUUUCGUGUCGGUCGCUACGUUACAUUCGGAUUUUGAAAUUGAUGAUUGGAUAUUAUAAAUUGAGUGUGGAUUUCGAAAACUAUGGAUAUUAUUAUUUAAUUAUUUUCGGAAUAAAUUUAAUUAUUUAUUAAAUUCCGAAAAUCUUCAUUGGGACCUUAUUUGCUCAGAAUUUCGUGCCGAUCGUUGCUGUGCAUUUAGAAUUUGAAAUUGAUGAUUGGUUGUGAUGAAUUGAGUGUGAUUGUGAUUUAUAGGGAUUCUUUACGAAAUCCUAAGCGUAGAAAUUGAUGGGAGAUUGGCUGUGAAAUACCACCUAUUAGAGGUCGUGCCCAGAGAGGCCGUGAUAAACCACCUUGGAAAGGUCGUGCCCGAUGAGGCCGUGAAAAACCACCUACAAGAGGUCGUGCCCGAUGAGGCCGUGAAAUACCACCUAUUAGAGGUCGUGCCCAGAGAGGCCGUGAUAAACCACCUAUGAAAGGUCGUGCCCAGAGAGGCCGUGAUAAACCACCUAUGAAAGGUCGUGCCCAGAGAGGCCGUGAUAAACCACCUAUGAGAGGUCGUGCCCAGAGAGGCCGUGAUAAACCACCUUGGAAAGGUCGUGCCCGAUGAGGCCGUGAAAAACCACCUACAAGAGGUCGUGCCCGAUGAGGCCGUGAAUUACCACCUGAUUACAGGUCGUGCCGAGUGGGGCCGUGAUGCCACUGAUUUAAAUUUGCCGAGUAGGGCCGUAGUUGAGAGCAAUGAUUGAUUUGCUAGAAUGACAUGUAAUCGGCCGAGUCGAUUGAUCGCUGAGACGAUCCAAGUGGUUGAAUGGUUUGUUAAUGUGAUUGUGCCAUGGUUGUUUGGUUAUCAUAAUUGUACGUGAUUGGAUUAUAUAAAUUGUGCUAACCUGCAGAUGAAGGCUGAGGCGAGGUAAGUCUUCUGUGUGAUGUGGCUAGGCCACCCGGGGCGUAUUUUCUUUCUAAUAGGGGUUUAGGGGGUUGAACUUGCUGAGACAUCGUCUCAUCCCGGUUGUGGGAUUAAAAUUUCAGGUCCCUGGUGGACGGAGCG